GAUGAACGCUGGCGGCGUGCCUAAUACAUGCAAGUCGAGCGAAUGGAUUAAGAGCUUGCUCUUAUGAAGUUAGCGGCGGACGGGUGAAUAACACGUGGGUAACCUGCCCAUAAGACUGGGAUAACUCCGGGAAACCGGGGCUAAUACCGGAUAAUAUUUUGAACUGCAUGGUUCAAAAUUGAAAGGCGGCUUCGGCUGUCACUUAUGGAUGGACACGCGUCGCAUUAGCUAGUUGGUGAGGUAACGGCUCACCAAGGCAACGAUGCGUAGCCGACCUGAGAGGGUGAUCGGCCACACUGGGACUGAGACACGGCCCAGACUCCUACGGGAGGCAGCAGUAGGGAAUCUUCCGCAAUGGACGAAAGUCUGACGGAGCAACGCCGCGUGAGUGAUGAAGGCUUUCAGGUCGUAAAACUCUGUUGUUAGGGAAGAACAAGUGCUAGUUGAAUAAGCUGGCACCUUGACGGUACCUAACCAGAAAGCCACGGCUAACUACGUGCCAGCAGCCGCCGUAA
rnacentral:rRNA from 1 species